GAUGAACGCUGGCGGCGUGCUUAACACAUGCAAGUCGAACGAAACACCUUAUUUGAUUUUCUUCGGAACUGAAGAUUUGGUGAUUGAGUGGCGGACGGGUGAGUAACGCGUGGGUAACCUGCCCUGUACAGGGGAAUAACAGUCAGAAAUGACUGCUAAUACCGCAUAAGACCACAGCACCGCAUGGUGCAGGGGUAAAAACUCCGGUGGUACAGGAUGGACCCGCGUCUGAUUAGCUGGUUGGUGAGGUAACGGCUCACCAAGGCGACGAUCAGUAGCCGGCUUGAGAGAGUGAACGGCCACAUUGGGACUGAGACACGGCCCAAACUCCUACGGGAGGCAGCAGUGGGGAAUAUUGCACAAUGGGGGAAACCCUGAUGCAGCGACGCCGCGUGAGUGAAGAAGUAUUUCGGUAUGUAAAGCUCUAUCAGCAGGGAAGAAAAUGACGGUACCUGACUAAGAAGCCCCGGCUAACUACGUG
rnacentral:rRNA from 1 species